UGUUAAAAAUUUUAUCCAUUUUUAUAGUUAAAAAUGGUUACUGUAUAUUAACAUAAAGUACUCAUAACGUAAUAGGUGUCACUAUUUAGCUAUUCUAUCAACCAUACUAUUUUUAAGGGUAAAAAUAAAUGAAAUUUUCAACA
rfam:Gossypium hirsutum cultivar TM-1 chromosome 20, whole genome shotgun sequence